AGAGACUUAAGUUAACAUUUAAACUGAGAGCCUUCAAAGCUCUUAAUGAGGGUGAAAAUCUCCUCAGACUCUG
rnacentral:tRNA from 1 species